UUUACCUGACUUCCUGCAUGUUGGGAUUGACUGCUCUCGAGGUAGGAGGCAAUGACCCUUGCACAUUAACCAGCUUUCUUGACCCCCCCGUUUCCUCCAAGGCCUUAUCCUAUGAAACUCUACCAAGAAGAUCCUUGAAGAGGCCCAAAUCUGCUCUCCUGAAGUCCAGUGAUGUGAUCUUGCUUUCUACCCUGCUCCUCUCACGAUGCUGAACUCCAUCAUCCCAGGGUCACUGCAGACAAGGUUGACUUCAGUCUUCACAUCCUCAGCAAGCCCUUCCUUAUUGAACCUCCUGGAUUGUUAUGCCCUGCUGUGCCCUCAAGCAGAAAGAUACCAGGUUGGUUGAAGUCCCUAACGAGGAUCAAGGCCUGUGAACAUAAGGCUACUUCUGGCUGCUAGAGGGCCUCAUCUACUUGUUCUUCCUGGUCAGGUGGCCUGUAGCAGGCACUCACUACAAUAUCUGGUGUUUAAUCCUUAUCCAUAAACUCUCAGGUGGCUCAUCAUCUGUCCCCAUUCUUCAGGCAUUCCUGUUAUUCCUCCACAUAAAUGGAAACAGCAUUUUCUCACCUCCCUGCCCUGUCUUUCCUAAAGAGUGUGUAUCAUCGCAUUGCAAGCCAUCCUACCCUGUCUCUGUGAUCCCAACAAGAUCAUAGCCCUAAAAUUGCACAAAGAUUUCUAAUUCAUCACAUCUGCUCCCCAUGCUGUAUGCAUUAGAGCCCAUGCAAUUCACAAAGGCAUCCUACCAUGCCAAUUUUCCAGAAAGGGUUUGGGGUUUCCCCAUAACUGUGCUUUGUAAACAUUUCCUUCCUCCAUUCAAAUACUGGAGGUGACCCUGUUUAUACCAGCUUUGUUUUGUUGAUUUUUUUUGUUCCCUUUUUAGUCACAUCACUCCAGGCCCUUUGCUCAUCAACACUGUCCAUCACUCCCUCACAGAGCUGCUUGUAACUUCCCCUCUCCCAUCAUUCCUAGCUAGAGCCCUCCUUACCUACACACUUCCCCUUUAACAGCAAUUCUCUUCUGUGCCACUCCUGCUCUUUGAGGAUACACACAUCUACCAGAGCAGCAGCCAGCUUAGAAUACUGACCUAACACCUACAAAACACAUUCUCCACGGACUCACUUAACAGAUCUUAGUUAAUAAGAACCUUGCAAACCCCUGAGCUACCAACCAUCAUCACUCCAAGAUCUGAACUUCUAGAAUCAGCUUUAACUGAAAACCUAAUCACUUAAAAUAUUCUAUUAGCUAUUCCAAUUAAAAUACUUACUGACAGAGGGUAAAAUCAGAGCUCACCUAAGUAUUCCUUUAUGAAAUGUCUUAGCUUAACAGACAGGGCAAACAUUCCCUUAUCCGCUAGAAUUCCCAAUCAGAAUAUGCUAAGACAACUGCUGAUGAAGUUGAAGAGGCUAUCAGGUCUCUAUGGUACUCCCCCUACUCACAAUCCUCUUGCAAAUGAUUUAAGCAAGAGACUGUCUGAUAAUGGGGCUGAACUAGAAACCAGAAAAGUGAAGUGACCGGGAUUAAAAUCACUCCUUUUCUAGAUGAUUUAAUCCAACUUAUUACACUGACAUCAUUAUCAGUAUAACUCAGAGUAGUGUAAACUGCAAAAUAUGACCAGAACUAUUAAGAUCCCUACUUUAAACUGACUUCAGUGUGAAAGAUAUCAUCUCUCAAAACUAUCACACAAUUAAUAUUUUACUACAUAGUGUUUGUACUAACAGCUAAGAGAGAAAUUGUUAGAAAAAAAAAUUAGGCAGCAGAAGUAUUUGUCUUUCCAUCUGAAGUAUUAGCACAAAAGAGAAGUUGGACAAGCGUCUGUUUCCAAAUUUAUUUUGAAAAAGGAUAUACCAAUGCCUUUAUUUUUCAACAUCACAAAAAGUUACCUAGGACACUGAAAAACAGCAAAUGAACUUUGCAAAAGAAACCAUUAUAUUAGAAGAGAGUUUCAAGGCCUGAUGAAACAAUUACAGUUAUUUCAGACAGUGCUACUUAAAUAGCAAGCUCUUCACAGAAGCCAGAUAACACCUUUUUUUUU